rnacentral:rRNA from 1 species
UUUCGAAUCUUUCACAAUGGGCGAAAGCCUGAUGCAGCGACGCCGCGUGGGGGAUGAAGGCCCUAGGGUCGUAAACCCCUUUCAGCAGGGACGAAACUGACGGUACCUGCAGAAGAAGGCCCGGCCAACUACGUGCCAGCAGCCGCGGUAAGACGUAGGGGCCAAGCGUUGUCCGGAAUUAUUGGGCGUAAAGAGCUCGUAGGCGGUUGCGUAAGUCGGAUGUGAAAGCUCAGGGCUCAACCCUGAGACGCCAUCCGAUACUGCGCUGACUUGAAUCCAGUAGGGGAGUGUGGAAUUCCUGGUGUAGCGGUGAAAUGCGCAGAUAUCAGGAGGAACACCUAUGGCGAAGGCAGCACUCUGGGCUGGUAUUGACGCUGAGGAGCGAAAGCAUGGGGAGCGAACAGGAUUAGAUACCCCCGUAGUCC